ACCUCGGAUCAGGUAGGAAUACCCGCUGAACUUAAGCAUAUCAAUAAGCGGAGGAAAAGAAACCAACAGGGAUUGCCCUAGUAACGGCGAGUGAAGCGGCAACAGCUCAAAUUUGAAAUCUGGCCUUCGGGUCCGAGUUGUAAUUUGUAGAGGAUGCUUUUGGUGAGGUACCUUCCGAGUUCCCUGGAACGGGACGCCAUAGAGGGUGAGAGCCCCGUCUGGUUGGAUACCGAUCCUCUGUAAAGCUCCUUCGACGAGUCGAGUAGUUUGGGAAUGCUGCUCUAAAUGGGAGGUAUAUGUCUUCUAAAGCUAAAUAUUGGCCAGAGACCGAUAGCGCACAAGUAGAGUGAUCGAAAGAUGAAAAGCACUUUGAAAAGAGAGUUAAAAAGUACGUGAAAUUGUUGAAAGGGAAGCGCUCAUGACCAGACUUGGGCUUGGUUGAUCAUCCAGGGUUCUCCCUGGUGCACUCUUCCAGCCCAGGCCAGCAUCAGUUCGCUGUGGGGGAUAAAGGCUUCGGGAAUGUGGCUCCUCCGGGAGUGUUAUAGCCCGCUGCGUAAUACCCUGUGGUGG
rnacentral:rRNA from 1 species